CGGGUGAGUAACACGUGGAUAACCUACCUAUAAGACUGGGAUAACUUCGGGAAACCGGAGCUAAUACCGGAUAAUAUUUUGAACCGCAUGGUUCAAAAGUGAAAGACGGUCUUGCUGUCACUUAUAGAUGGAUCCGCGCUGCAUUAGCUAGUUGGUAAGGUAACGGCUUACCAAGGCAACGAUGCAUAGCCGACCUGAGAGGGUGAUCGGCCACACUGGAACUGAGACACGGUCCAGACUCCUACGGGAGGCAGCAGUAGGGAAUCUUCCGCAAUGGGCGAAAGCCUGACGGAGCAACGCCGCGUGAGUGAUGAAGGUCUUCGGAUCGUAAAACUCUGUUAUUAGGGAAGAACAUAUGUGUAAGUAACUGUGCACAUCUUGACGGUACCUAAUCAGAAAGCCACGGCUAACUACGUGCCAGCAGCCGCGGUAAUACGUAGGUGGCAAGCGUUAUCCGGAAUUAUUGGGCGUAAAGCGCGCGUAGGCGGUUUUUUAAGUCUGAUGUGAAAGCCCACGGCUCAACCGUGGAGGGUCAUUGGAAACUGGAAAACUUGAGUGCAGAAGAGGAAAGUGGAAUUCCAUGUGUAGCGGUGAAAUGCGCAGAGAUAUGGAGGAACACCAGUGGCGAAGGCGACUUUCUGGUCUGUAACUGACGCUGAUGUGCGAAAGCGUGGGGAUCAAACAGGAUUAGAUACCCUGGUAGUCCACGCCGUAAACGAUGAGUGCUAAGUGUUAGGGGGUUUCCGCCCCUUAGUGCUGCAGCUAACGCAUUAAGCACUCCGCCUGGGGAGUACGACCGCAAGGUUGAAACUCAAAGGAAUUGACGGGGACCCGCACAAGCGGUGGAGCAUGUGGUUUAAUUCGAAGCAACGCGAAGAACCUUACCAAAUCUUGACAUCCUUUGACAACUCUAGAGAUAGAGCCUUCCCCUUCGGGGGACAAAGUGACAGGUGGUGCAUGGUUGUCGUCAGCUCGUGUCGUGAGAUGUUGGGUUAAGUCCCGCAACGAGCGCAACCCUUAAGCUUAGUUGCCAUCAUUAAGUUGGGCACUCUAAGUUGACUGCCGGUGACAAACCGGAGGAAGGUGGGGAUGACGUCAAAUCAUCAUGCCCCUUAUGAUUUGGGCUACACACGUGCUACAAUGGACAAUACAAAGGGCAGCGAAACCGCGAGGUCAAGCAAAUCCCAUAAAGUUGUUCUCAGUUCGGAUUGUAGUCUGCAACUCGACUACAUGAAGCUGGAAUCGCUAGUAAUCGUAGAUCAGCAUGCUACGGUGAAUACGUUCCCGGGUCUUGUACACACCGCCCGUCACACCACGAGAGUUUGUAACA
rnacentral:rRNA from 1 species